CCGCGUAUUGCUCGACUUGUUGGAUAAGCCUCUUAACUGUCCUCCUGAGACGUGUUGAUCCAGGCAGCCACAUACAUCACACCUGCUGCGACUGAAAUGAUUCGGCCUGGAUUUCUGCGUGUAUUAAGAAAAGAGUCAUCAGAUCUCAACCCAGCUGCACAUCUAUGGGUGAUCUUGGAUUGACAACACUCUUCACCACCAUCAUCAAAACAUCAAAGCGCCAUGUCUCCUCCAACAAUAUGCAGCUGAAUAACAGAAAACAGAAAACCUCCAGAUGACAGAAGGGGGCUGCUAAUUUGCUGUCUUCAGCUGUGCAAACAGACUAACAAUUGACACUACUGUCUCUUCAAUGGAGACAAAGUGGACAAAAACAUGAGGCAAACAUAGUCAAUAAAAAACAGCUGUAUAAUUAUCAUCGGAUAAUGUGUCGAACAGAGUUUCAACCCCUAACACCACGUCAGAAACUAAAGAACAAGGUUAAAUCCUAACACAAGCAAACAGAGCUGUGACCCAUUUUCCAAAUAAUAUAUCUCUUGACCCAUGUUGUGCAUCAAAGGGUUAAAGAUUCACAUAUGUUAACAUGUGACUGCAAAACCUACACAAAAAUGUUGGUUGUGCUAUUGCUUGACUUUAUACAGGCUAACAACAGCAUCUGCAGCAUCAUUAAUGUUCUGGUGCAGAGAAAAUAAUCCUUACCUCUCCUCAGGGUGGUGACAUCAUGGAUUCACUGCUCACUUUAAACCCAGUGCAGCCCUUUGGCAUUAGUGAAGUAUUGAAUUUGUCAUGUUUCCUCUCAGUUAUCACACUUUACAGAUAAUCACACUUGUACUUUUAUUGUUGUAACUUUCACAGACGUCUGUGUUCUUUUGUUUGGUUUCUGACCUGUUAGUCCUCUGACAUACAGCUUUAGAAAUGAUUAUUAGGCCACUGUGUUUUUUUUCUUAAGGUUACAACAGACAGCUGUUUGGCUGAGUCCAAGCUGGUUAGCAAUGAUUCUCUCACUGUAUCCCUCUUCGUAAAGCACCAAACUGGCCUUCUUCUCAUUGGCGUUGUUGAGGGAUCAUUUAGUUUGGCAGCUUAUGCACAAAAUAAUGGUGUCUCUAUGUUUGUCACCAUCUUGUGUAACUGCUUAAUUUGUUACUGUUGCAAUACAUCACAUUUUUCAACACAAUUUAUUGCAGGUUUUGAGUUAUUAUGACACAUUUUCAUGUCUUUCAGAAUAUACUGUACUUAAUUAACCACUAUGUUAAAAUUCUACCAAAAUGAUCCAUCUAAAAAGCCUGUCAUGUGGAAGAAGACAGCAGGUGGUCUAAUAAUCAUUUCCAAAGCUGCAAAUGAAUUGCCUGAUUUGUCAUGCUUCCUCCGCAUUGUCACAUUUGACAGAUGCUUGUUCUGGUGCUUUUUGUACUUUUAUCUCUGUAACUUUGAGAGAGGUCUGCCUGGGGUGCAGCACUUUGACUCUGGCAGCUACCACGCAUGGAUUUAUCAUCUAAUAAAUUUGAAACUCUGUUCAGCCAAUUAUCCAAAGCGAUGUGCACCUGGUUUAAACUGACAUUGUGUGUCAGCCUCAUUUUUUGCCCACUUUUACUCUGAUAAGGAUGCAAUAGUCCUCUGGAGCUUGCUAUAAUACUUAAAGGGUUUAUAAGCAGAGUGGUGUAACCCACUUUCUGUAGUUUUCAAGAAUAGCCUAACAUUCAAAGCACCACUGUAACACUAUAUUUAGGUUGUGGGUCAGACCACUUUGCCACUAAAAUCUAGACCAUAAAAGAUUACAGAAAUGAUUAAAAAAAAAAAAAAAAAAAAACCUCAAGAUUUUUUGUGAGUUAGUCCACUCUGCUUCUAACACCCUCAGUCUUCAUGUUGGGUUUUUUCCAUGAAUUUGUCACCCCUUUCUACAGGGUGUCCCUAAAGUCUGGACACAUAGGUAAUCUCAUUAACUAUAUAUAUUUUUUUAACCUCCACAGAUUAAAUAUGGCUUUGUCGAAAGAAGACAGAGUUGAACUGGUACUUCUCAGUGGAUGUGAAGAACGGACAUACGGAAGGAUAGCAGAUGAAUUUAACACUCGUCAUCCAAGGAGGAUUCCACUUGACUUUUCCGUGGGGGCAAAGGUAGUUAAAAAGUUUAAAGAAACGGGCAGUGUCAUGGGCAAACCCUGUUCUGGAUGAAUAAAUGUAUCUGCUGAAACUAAAGAAUUGGCCAUGGCUAUAAUUCAUGCUAGCCCCAAAAAAUCACUACCCUAACCCUAUCUUUCGAUACAUCCACCCUUCAUGUUCACUGAGACGUACCAGUUCAACUCUUUCGUCUUUGGACAAAGUCAUACUUAAUCUGUGGAGGCAAAAAAAAAACAAAAAGUAUAGUUCAUGAGAUUUCCUAUGUGUCCAGACUUUAAGGACACCCUGUAUAUGAUACUGCAACAUAGUGCUUAAAAAGUUGUUCUUAAACAAUGUAGAACAACUUAAGGGGAAGUGAAACGAAAAGAGUCUAAUUCAAUAUCACAAAAAUGGACUCAUUAAAGACCAUUCAUUGUUAAAUCUGUUGUCUUGUGUUGCUGCAGCAGCUCUGACACUCUCAUCACUACCUUCAACACAAGAUAUCUACUGUCAGAACUGCACGUCGUUGUGAGAUGAGAGCAUCAGCUACAUGCGAAAAAGAAACACAGCUAAGCCUGCAUCAUGAAAUGCUGAUGAGAAUGCAUUAUUGAGGAAAGCGCGCCUGAGCAAACUAGUCAAGUGACUUGUUCUGCUUGGAAACUGCAGCCAACCCAUGCAAAGGCGUCCUAUAAAUAGUCCUGCAUCGCUCUCUCCGCUGUGGCUUGCAGGCUGGCAGCUCUGCAGUCACGACUGCCCCCGAAUGCUGCCAGAAUGAGGCUAAAGCUCCCUUCACUGGGUGUACUGCAGCUGCUGCUCUCUCUCUCUGCCUCUCUGCAGUCACGGGUUGCCCCUGCGUCAGAGCCGAGCCUUGCAAGCUCUGCUGAUCACCACCACCGUAUACGGCAAUCCUUUGAGCUCCCAGCAUGCCCUGACGUCAUGGGGACUUACGUCACGCACAAGUGACGACAUCCCUCCAGAUUAUGUGUCCGUGCUAUUAUUAUAGAGCUACAGCGUGCGGGGGAGCGAGGGGAGGGAUGGGCGGUGAUGAAUUUAGCUCGUGCCCUGCCCCCUGUGGAUUCUCCAAUGGCAAUCAGUUUUCAUUACCCUGCUCUGGCGUCAUGUUGGGUUUUAUAACAGUAUUAUGUAUGGCUCUAGGUGGGCGAAUUAGCCCAAGCGUGCACACACAAACACAAGCAUGCAAAUGGAUGGUGCAGCUGGCACGAAUUUAUACUUUGUCAGUUGUUGUGUAAGUUGUAGUUUAUGCAUGUUUCUUGGAGCAAUCCUGCAUUGUUACUGCAGGCAAUCCGCUCACAGUUUCCUACUUAUUAUCAUCCUCCCGGUUUGCAGAUGUUUACUUUUCAUUACAUAUUUGUAUCCUGAAUUGUAAAAAAAAAAAAAAAAAAAAAAAUACAAAAACUGCUCUAUGCAUCUGCUAUGUGAAAACAGCGCAGACAAGUUGUUUUCGAUUCUUGGUAUGUCAUGUACAUAUUGAAGAAUUGACAAUAAAGCUGACUUUGACUUUGA